UACGUAGGGACCAAGCGUUGUCCGGAAUCAUUGGGCGUAAAGCGCGCGUAGGUGGCUUCAUAAGUCCGUUGUGAAAGUCAAAGGCUCAACCUUUGAAAGCCGAUGGAUACUGUGGAGCUAGAGUACGGAAGAGGCGAGUGGAAUUCCUGGUGUAGCGGUGGAAUGCGCAGAUAUCAGGAGGAAAACCAAUAGCGAAGGCAGCUCGCUGGGACGUUACUGACACUAAGGCGCGAAAGCGGGGGGAGCGAACAGG
rnacentral:rRNA from 1 species